UACAGAGGGUGCGAGCGUUAAUCGGAAUUACUGGGCGUAAAGGGCGCGUAGGCGGGCCCGUAUGUCGAUUGUGAAAGCCCUGGGCUUAACCUGGGAAUUGCAGUCGAAACUGCGGGUCUUGAGUGCCUAAGAGGAUGGCGGAAUUCCCGGUGUAGAAGUGAAAUUCGUAGAUAUCGGGAAGAACACCUGAGGCGAAGGCGGCUGUCUGGUGGUGCACUGACGCUGAGGCGCGAAAGCGUGGGGAGCAAACGGG
rnacentral:rRNA from 1 species